rnacentral:rRNA from 1 species
GUGAGGAAUAUUGGGCAAUGGGCGCAAGCCUGAUCCAGCCAUGCCGCGUGCAGGAAGACGCAUCUAUGGUGUGUAAACUGCUUUUGUACGGGAAGAAACACUCCCUCGUGAGGGAGCUUGACGGUACCGUAAGAAUAAGGAUCGGCUAACUCCGUGCCAGCAGCCGCGGUAAUACGGAGGAUCCAAGCGUUAUCCGGAAUCAUUGGGUUUAAAGGGUCCGUAGGCGGUUUAAUAAGUCAGUGGUGAAAGCCCAUCGCUCAACGAUGGAACGGCCAUUGAUACUGUUAGACUUGAAUUACAAGGAAGUAACUAGAAUAUGUAGUGUAGCGGUGAAAUGCUUAGAUAUUACAUGGAAUACCAAUUGCGAAGGCAGGUUACUACUUGUGGAUUGACGCUGAUGGACGAAAGCGUGGGGAGCGAACAGGAUUAGAAACCCUGGUAGUCC